rnacentral:rRNA from 1 species
CUACUGGAAACGGUAGCUAAUACCGCAUAACGUCGCAAGACCAAAGAGGGGGACCUUCGGGCCUCUUGCCAUCAGAUGUGCCCAGAUGGGAUUAGCUAGUAGGUGGGGUAACGGCUCACCUAGGCGACGAUCCCUAGCUGGUCUGAGAGGAUGACCAGCCACACUGGAACUGAGACACGGUCCAGACUCCUACGGGAGGCAGCAGUGGGGAAUAUUGCACAAUGGGCGCAAGCCUGAUGCAGCCAUGCCGCGUGUAUGAAGAAGGCCUUCGGGUUGUAAAGUACUUUCAGCGGGGAGGAAGGCGUUGAGGUUAAUAACCUCAGCGAUUGACGUUACCCGCAGAAGAAGCACCGGCUAACUCCGUGCCAGCAGCCGCGGUAAUACGGAGGGUGCAAGCGUUAAUCGGAAUUACUGGGCGUAAAGCGCACGCAGGCGGUCUGUCAAGUCGGAUGUGAAAUCCCCGGGCUCAACCUGGGAACUGCAUUCGAAACUGGCAGGCUAGAGUCUUGUAGAGGGGGGUAGAAUUCCAGGUGUAGCGGUGAAAUGCGUAGAGAUCUGGAGGAAUACCGGUGGCGAACGCGGCCCCCUGGACAAAGACUGACGCUCAGGUGCGAAAGCGUGGGGAGCAAACAGGAUUAUAUACCCUGGUAGUCCACGCCGUACACGAUGUCGACUUGGAGGUUGUGCCCUUGAGGCGUGGCUUCCGGAGCUAACGCGUUAAGUCGACCGCCUGGGGAGUACGGCCGCAAGGUUAAAACUCAAAUGAAUUGACGGGGGCCCGCACAAGCGGUGGAGCAUGUGGUUUAAUUCGAUGCAACGCGAAGAACCUUACCUACUCUUGACAUCCAGAGAACUUAGCAGAGAUGCUUUGGUGCCUUCGGGAACUCUGAGACAGGUGCUGCAUGGCUGUCGUCAGCUCGUGUUGUGAAAUGUUGGGUUAAGUCCCGCAACGAGCGCAACCCUUAUCCUUUGUUGCCAGCGGUCCGGCCGGGAACUCAAAGGAGACUGCCAGUGAUAAACUGGAGGAAGGUGGGGAUGACGUCAAGUCAUCAUGGCCCUUACGAGUAGGGCUACACACGUGCUACAAUGGCGCAUACAAAGAGAAGCGACCUCGCGAGAGCAAGCGGACCUCAUAAAGUGCGUCGUAGUCCGGAUUGGAGUCUGCAACUCGACUCCAUGAAGUCGGAAUCGCUAGUAAUCGUAGAUCAGAAUGCUACGGUGAA